rnacentral:ncRNA from 2 species
CUUACAAUGGCGCCCGUUGGUGCUCGUGCCGGUUGUCACGCCGGUGCAGUUAAACGGGAAGCAGAGGAAGCCGGUCCAUCGGGCCGUCGUCCAGCCUGCGCUGCCCCCGCAACGGUCAGCGGACGGCGCGUCAUCGCGCCAACUCGUGUGCAACGCCACUGGGGGUCAUGUCCUGGGAAGGCCGCACGGGUCGUUCCGCCAGCCCGGAUACCGGCCAACGAGGUGGGACACGU